CAUGGAUUUUUCACACGGUCCAUGUGUGGUGCAUGGACUGAUGGUCCAUGAGGACCCACGUGGAUUGGAUGGGUAUUUUUCUUGGGUUUCUCACAGUCCAUAUGGACCGAAAGGUGGUUUCCAUGUGGUUUCUCGUAGCUCAUACGGGGUUCUCAUGGAUCGAUGUGCAAUCAGGUGGCUGCGAGUGCCCGCAGUCAUGAUCAGAUGGAUCAGAGGAGAUCAGAGAUGAGCAGGGUCACGAUGGGGUGUGAUUUAAUGGUUAGUUUUUGAUCUGAUACUCGAUUGGAUGGCAGAGAAGCUAUAGGAGUUCGAUCAUGAGUCUGAUUCUGAUAUAGUUCGAGUUUUAGGACUUUAAGAGGCCUUGUGGGUGAACAGAACCAACACACACAGAGAGCACGGCAGAAAGCCAUCAGUGGAGGCAUCAGUGUGAGGGAGGCUCAUGCAGCCAUCAGGAGAAGUCCGACAAAGCUUCGAGCGUGCACAGCAGGUGGAGUAGACCCUACAGAGCACCGACAGGGGAUCAGGGGUAGAGCAGAGUGUCAGGCAAUAUAGCUGCAGAGCGGCACGAUGUAGUGGUUCGCUCCAUAGAAAGCAUCCAGGGGUGUUAAGGAUCUGAUACUGAUAGGCCUGUGAAAGGGUCUCUUGGGGGUUUUUUGAGAGAGCUUUUGUGAGGGUAGCUUCUAGUUGAGAGAGGUAUGUAUACAGAUAGUUGAG
rnacentral:lncRNA from 1 species